UUCUUCCUUCACUUAACUCAAUCUCAUUUCUCCAAAUUUCAUCUCUUUCUUCUUCCUUCUCUAGCUUUCUUCAACAAGCUGACUAACACAGAGGAGGCUAAAGAGAUGGCUACUACUCUUACUCAUAGUGCAAGUGCACCACCUCAGUUCUACUUUAAUGAAAAAUGGAAGCUUUCAAAGAAAGAAGGAUCAUCAAGAAGCAGCCGGUCUUCAACUUCUCCUCUCAUGAAGAAUUCAUCUCAGAGAAGAUCUUCUUUUACGAGAAAGUGUGCUAGGUUGGUUAAAGAACAAAGAGCCAGGUUCUAUAUCAUGAGGAGAUGUGUUGCUAUGCUCAUUUGCUGGAGAGAUUACAGUGAUUCUUGAAUCAAGUCUAGUGAAAAAUCAAAGAUGGAAAGAUUCAUCAAGAAAGGAAAAGAGAGAGAGAGAGAGAGAGAGAGAAAUUAAUGUUUCUCUCUCUCUUUCUUUCUCUUUGUGUCUUGUUUUGGCAUCUUCUUGAUUUCUCUUUCUUUCUGUGAGAUGGGUUCUUGGGUUUGCUCCAAAAUAGACCAAAUUUCUAGGAAUUUUCAUGGCAUCCAAGGAGGAAGAGGAAGAAGAUUAAUUAUAUAAAUGUACAUAAAAUAGUUACAUAUUUUGGCCUUUUCUGUUGUACUGUUUUAGAUUUUUUGAGGAUGCAUGGCUGAGUUCUUAAUGUUACUGUUACUUUCACUGCUAGAGAGAUUAAUUAUGAUGAUGAUGAUAGAAAGAAGAAAUAGCUUUCAACUCUUUUUCUUUCAUUUCUCUCUUCUGAUCUCACAUGCCUUAAUUUCUUGGCUUUGAAAUUGAAAGAGAUUCCAUUCAACCAUUGCAGCUUCUUGCAGACUGGAUCAACGUGGGAGAGACGAUGAAGUCUUAGCUAAAAGAGGCAAAAGAGAUGCUUUUUAUUUAUUUUUUCAUUAUUUCUGUACAGUGGCAGUAAUUAAAGUUUCUUUUUUUUUUUGCUUUUUUCUUAUUUAAAGCAGAUUCAAUUUUACUGCAAAGCCAUUUUAGAGUAAAAGGAUUCUCUCAGCUUGAAUAUUGUCAUUUCUAGGAAUAGGCUCGUAGCUACAGAACUUGUUUUCGGGUGGCACGAAUCACAAGGCUCUGUGCUAAUCUAAAUGACAUUUAUGUCCUGAUAUCUUUAGCCUUUGACUAAGGAACUGGACCACUUUGACCACCUUUCCUUGUGAGGCUAUUUUGGACAUUUUUUAUGUUCUUGUAUUUGGAAUGGGAGAUGAUCUUGAAUUUAUGAUUUUUAUGGGAACAUUUACUGUAUCUGAAUUUGUAUGUGAUGUAAAAACAGUUUUAAUCUGUAAUAGAAAAAUAAUUUCAACUUUUUUUUUUAAUUUUAAAGGUAUUUAAUCGUAUUUACUAUGCCUUGUUUAAAAUUUAAAAUAUCAAAUUUUAAAAUAAUUUAAAAGAAAUUUAAUAAUUUUUUAAAAUUUUUAUGUUUAGGAAAUUUUAUGCAAAUUACACAUAAGCAAACUACAAAACAUUCUAAGGGCAAUUUUUCUUGAAUUAGAAGGGUAUUUAUGUCCAAAGAAGUUUACAGCUGGGCUGGUGUUUUUUAUACUGUGGGUGUGUACUGUAUAAUGUGGAUGGUAUCAUGGGAUGGUCUGACCAUUCAAUUUAAAAAAAUAUAAACCUUUGGAAAUCAUAAAGCUUCAAUUCUAAAAUAAUCAAACCACAGUUCUGUGUUCAAGAGGCUUUUGGCUUGUGAUAUACAGAUCAGAAUUUCCAUGCAUAUAAUAAUAAUAGUAAGAAGAAGAAGAAGAAGCAGGGCAGUACUUGCUUUGGAAGUAGCAGGUUAGGCACUCCAUUGCUGACAAUUAAUCACCAGAGCUACACAUGGGUUCACAAAAAUCUAUUAAUCUUCUUCCUUCACAGCUGAGAAUUCAAAAUCCUUUGCAAAUUAACAUGAAUUACCAAUAAUUUUAGGUCAAUAAAUUGGAAAUUGGACACUCUAUCCAAAGUGGUAAGCAGAAAUGUAAGUUUAUCAUUUUGGAUAAUUAAAAUUAUCUCGUUUUAAGAUAAUCAACAAACAUAUUUGUUUUAAAAAAAAAUUCCCAUCAUGAUUUCCCUAUUCAUUUCCCAAUUCUUUUACAAAUUACUAUUGAUUUGUUUCCAAAUGUCCUUUUUAGUUGAAUUUGGGUGACCAAUAAAUUUGAUUGCUUUCUUGUGUGGCAUGAAUUCAUGAUAUGCACAAGCAUUUGUCCUACAUAGCAGAACACAUAUCCAUUUCUAGCUUGAAUUCAAAGUGGGUGAUAAUUGAUUUAACCCUUUUAGCUCUAGAGUAGGAUAUUUAA